CGAAAAGUAAAGCCAUCUCCAGAAGACUUGCUCUCUCUCCGUGCUCAUGUUCUUAAUUUUGUAUUUCAAUGGUUUUUCCUCUGUCAGAUGUCUCACAGUAAUAAGUUUGUGAAGGAAUGUCUUCUGACCGAACGAACAAACAUAUACAGAAGAUACAAAUGAGGAAUACUUGGUGGAAAAGUUGAUUGCAGAAGCAUCUGAAGGAGAAAAUUGUUGUGCUAUUAUAUUCACUGACGUCUGCAACGCUGCAAUGAUCACAUUUACCGGGCAGUCUGCUGAUGCAUUUAUGACCAUAAUAGCUGGUGAAUUGCAGGUACUGCUGGAAGACCAUAUGACUUUGGCAUUAUGGCUUCUGUAUUUGUUGGUUUGUAUAUCCAAAGCAUUUUACUGUGUUGAAAUAACAAAAUAUUAGAAAUAAACGGCUUAUAAAGAGUAACAUUUCUGUGGUAACUCUAUAAUUUUCUAUUUCUCUUUUGGACACAAGCUCAUUCCUUACGGAUAUUGUCACUAUACCUCAAUUUCUAAUAGCAAAGCUUUGUUCACGUUGGGCCCGGGCAAAGCCCGGGCUACCCUUACUAGUUUUAUAAGGCGACUUGUCGAAUUUUAAUCUCACUAAAACAAGUGUGCAGUUUGCAACCAACCACGUGAAUAAUGUGAGAAAUAUGUGCUCUGCAAAUUACUGCUACUAAAUUGAUCACUCGUCUCUUGUUAUAUGCUUUGGUUGCUACUUGAUCUUGCUUGUUAUCCAUGCCUUGUUAUCUAUUAUUUAAAUUUUCACUUGUUUGGUUUAUUUAUUUCUCGCUCAAUAUCUAUUUACCUACUAUAUGUUACUACCUGAAUUAAUUGUAUAACUUUAUUGUUUCAUGUGUUACUUGCCUUUAUUGUCUUUACAUUACUUGUUACACUUUAUUUCAAAUUUUGUGAGUUUUUUAGCUAUUCUUGUAUUGGUAAUUUGUAGAGAAAUAUGGAUACGAGGUAUUGGUUACCUUCGUUUGUAUUGGUAGUUCAUUGAUGUUCUGUACACUUUAUUUUCCUUUCGUGUUGAGAUUCCAUUAUUGGUUGUGUUGAGUUGCUUAGGUGUAUGUGUUGAUAUUAGGAAUGGGUUGCGCUCUGCAAUAGUAUUGAAAUGAAUUUAGAUAUCGGGGUAGGGUUGCAUGAUAAGUAGAUAUUUUGACCGAUUAUUUGCUCUCUUUUAACUGCGAUUUAGCUCAAAAAUACUU